rnacentral:rRNA from 1 species
AGUGAACGCUGGCGGUAGGCCUAACACAUGCAAGUCGAACGGCAGCACAGUAAGAGCUUGCUCUUACGGGUUGCGAGUGGCGGACGGGUGAGGAAUACAUCGGAAUCUACUUUUUCGUGGGGGAUAACGUAGGUAAACUUACGCUAAUACCGCAUACGACCUACGGGUGAAAGCAUGGGAUCUUCGGACCUUGCGCGAAUGAAUGAGCCGAUGUCGGAUUAGCUAGUUGGCGGGUUAAAGGCCCACCAAGGCGACGAUCCGUAGCUGGUCUGAGAGGAUGAUAGGCCACACUGGAACUGAGACACGGUCCAGACGCCUACGGGAGGCAGCAGUGGGGAAUAUUGGACAAUGGGCGGAAGCCUGAUCCAGCGAUACCGCGUGGGUGAAGAAGGCCUUCGGGUUGUAAAGCCCUUUUGUUGGGAAAGAAAAGCAGCAGGUUAAUACCCCGCUGUUCUGACGGUACCCAAAGAAUAAGCACCGGCUAACUUCGUG